UACGAAGGGGGCGAGCGUUGUUCGGAUUUACUGGGCGUAAAGGGCGCGCAGGCGGCCAUUCAAGUCAGGCGUGAAAGCCCCGGGCUUAACCUGGGAAUGGCAUUUGGGACUGCAAGGCUUGAGUGCGGCAGAGGAGACUGGAAUUCCUGGUGUAGCAGUGAAAUGCGUAGAUAUCAGGAGGAAUACCGAUGGCGAAGGCAGGUCUCUGGGCUGACACUGACGCUCAUGCACGAAAGCGUGGGGAGCAAACAGG
rnacentral:rRNA from 1 species